rnacentral:rRNA from 1 species
UACGUAGGGUGCGAGCGUUGUCCGGAAUUAUUGGGCGUAAAGGGCUCGUAGGCGGUUUGUCGCGUCGGGAGUGAAAUCCACUGGCUUAACUGGUGGCUUGCUUUCGAUACGGGCAGACUGGAGGUAUGCAGGGGAGAACGGAAUUCCUGGUGUAGCGUGAAAUGCGCAGAUAUCAGGAGGAACACCGGUGGCGAAGGCGGUCUCUGGGCAUGUCCUGACGCUGAGGAGCGAAAGUGUGGGGAGCGAACAGG